UAUAUUUGUCGGCAUCGAUGGAUAUUGAAAACUCCGGUGGAUAGAGAUGGGCACGCGCAAGAUUAGAUAGUUGGUGAGGUAACGGCUCACCAAGUCUACGAUCUUUAGGGGGCCUGAGAGGGUGAUCCCCCACACUGGUACUGAGACACGGACCAGACUCCUACGGGAGGCAGCAGUGAGGAAUAUUGGACAAUUGGUGAGAGCCUGAUCCAGCCAUCCCGCGUGAAGGACGACGGCCCUAUGGGUUGUAAACUUCUUUUGUAUAGGGAUAAACCUACCCUCGUGAGGGUAGCUGAAGGUACUAUACGAAUAAGCACCGGCUAACUCCGUGCCAGCAGCCGCGGUAAUACGGAGGGUGCAAGCGUUAUCCGGAUUUAUUGGGUUUAAAGGGUCCGUAGGCGGAUCUGUAAGUCAGUGGUGAAAUCUCACAGCUUAACUGUGAAACUGCCAUUGAUACUGCAGGUCUUGAGUGUUAUUGAAGUAGCUGGAAUAAGUAGUGUAGCGGUGAAAUGCAUAGAUAUUACUUAGAACACCAAUUGCGAAGGCAGGUUACUAAGCAACAACUGACGCUGAUGGACGAAAGCGUGGGGAGCGAACAGGAUUAGAUACCCUGGUAGUCCACGCCGUAAACGAUGCUAACUCGUUUUUGGUUUUUCGGAAUCAGAGACUAAGCGAAAGUGAUAAGUUAGCCACCUGGGGAGUACGUUCGCAAGAAUGAAACUCAAAGGAAUUGACGGGGGCCCGCACAAGCGGUGGAUUAUGUGGUUUAAUUCGAUGAUACGCGAGGAACCUUACCAAGGCUUAAAUGGGAAAUGACAGGUUUAGAAAUAGACUUUUCUUCGGACAUUUUUCAAGGUGCUGCAUGGUUGUCGUCAGCUCGUGCCGUGAGGUGUUAGGUUAAGUCCUGCAACGAGCGCAACCCCUGUCACUAGUUGCCAUCAUUAAGUUGGGGACUCUAGUGAGACCGCCUACGCAAGUAGAGAGGAAGGUGGGGAUGACGUCAAAUCAUCACGGCCCUUACGCCUUGGGCCACACACGUAAUACCAUGGCCGGUACAGAGGGCAGCUACACAGCGAUGUGAUGCAAAUCUCGAAAGCCGGUCUCAGUUCGGAUUGGAGUCUGCAACUCGACUCUAUGAAGCUGGAAUCGCUAGUAAUCGCGCAUCAGCCAUGGCGCGGUAGAAUA
rnacentral:rRNA from 1 species